AUGGUGUUACCGAAGACUUCAUUGCUUGAUUUGACUGUUACCAAAAGAGGUGCUCUGGCUUGCACAUUGUAUGAAUCCUAUAUCCUGGGAAAAGAAGUUGUCCAAACUGUCACUGUAGCAGGUUCUACAGCUAAUCAUUCUGAACUCCACAUGCAAUCAGCGCUUGCCAAAGGAGUUAUCAACUCAGUCUUGUUGUUUUACUCAUCAACGCACUUUGCUGGGUGGAGUUUCUGUGGGAAGCUCAAACCAUCAGAUUUCUUUGUCACGCCUUUGGGUUACUUCAAAGUCUUGGCCUCAAAGCUUCAAAAGUUGAAACCCAAGAAUGAAAGGAGGGUUCGGAAAGAUUACCGUGUAGUCUUCCGAAUGCUGAAGUCUCUUUUCUGCAGAGCAUUGCAUCUGCCAAAGGAAGUUCGACACCUGUUGAAGCUUUUGAGAGAAUUCAGAGAGAAAGAUUGUUUAAUUGUGAACAAUCAUCCGUCUGGUAUGAGUGAGCAGGAGAAAUUAUCCCUUCUUGUGAGAUGUUGCCCGAAAUUAGAGCACCUGGAAAAGGAAUAUCCUGAAAAGUACAUGCAAGUAAUAACCGGGCUGCCAUUCUGUGACACGAAACCCCAUUGGAAGAUAAGAGUCAGUAAAAAAUCUAUACUUGGAUAA
rnacentral:rRNA from 1 species